CCUUGGCCUCUAAUGCAGCUACAUGGACUAAACCAAGACGUACACCCCCCCACGCGGUCCCGAUCCUUACAUCAAUCUAAAAGGACAGUUACUUUGCGUCGCGAAAAUAACAAGGAUAUAUAUUUUUGUGUGAUGAGUCGAUCUGAAUGGAAGUUUUAAAACUUUUUCUCCUGGCUAACGUAGCUUUGGAACUAAAAGCAUGCUGUUAUUCCGUUCCCUGGAGCCUCGCCGACAAAAUGGGACGUUCCAUGCAUUGAUUUAAUAAUGCUUGACGCGACUGUCAUCAGUGUAAAGCCACUUUCAGGUCUUCUAAUUGCGAUGCUGCCCCUAGUGGACCUGGAUCCACAUCCAAAUGUAGUCUACGUGCACGAGCAUCACCUCAACGACAGCAGAUGCUUUUCAUACACGCGCUCGUCAACAGCGCGUCCUCCUGCUGCCGUCCAGCACCGCGUCUGCCCCGGAUUCCGCAGAGACAAUGGUGUGAAUUUAAAGACAAAGCUGUGUGCGCCAAGCUUUGAUGCCGAGCCAAGCCCCAUCGUUCCCAGAGCCCGGUUCGUGUUUGUGUGUUUGGAUUGCCCCAUCCUUUCACCUGGAAGUGACUAG
rnacentral:lncRNA from 1 species